UCAUCUCAUUCCUCAUCUGUUCUAAGGAUGAAUGCACUAGCGAUGAUUUAGCAUCUGUCGUGGGCACCAGACCUGCGGUUGCCUCUGAAGAAUAAGAGAAUGGAGAUUAAUAAGGGGUGUUCCUGCUGCUUCAGCCUUCACUGUGUUCAAUCAUCGGCUGCCUCUGUGUCA
rnacentral:lncRNA from 1 species